GACUCCCUUUCUGCACAGGAUGAAUUUGUACAGCUGUCUGAUGACAGUGACUUUGAAUACCCCGCACCACAAAGAAGAGGUCUGCAGAUGUCCUGACCAGAGAAGAAAUAACCGGAAUUCUCAGAGCACAUGCUGACAAACUCACUCCAACAACAAAGUCAAUCUACAUUAGCCGCUCGAAUUCAAGUUUAAGAGCAAUUUAACAGACCCAGAUUUUCAGAGAACUUAAGUACACUGUAUGUCACCUUUGCAAGUGAUGAGAUGGAUGCAAAUGAAGAUGCAGAGGACUUAGGAGGGCCACGAAGAGAGUUCUUCCGUCUACUUGUGAGGGCUAUCUUCCAGGAUAGUGGAGCAUUUGAAGGUCAAAGAAGCAAGCACACAGGAUGAAUUGGAGGA